AACAAAUCAGCAACUUAAACAGAAACUUAAACAAAAUACAAUAAUUCGAAAGAAAACUGAUAGGAGCAUAUUUAUGCGCCUUAGUUAGCUAGUUCUUAUGCAUUUCCAUGGUGUUUUCUUAGUUAAAGUAGUCUUUUAAGCUAGUUUUAUGUGUUUUCAGGUUUUAAGGCCAAAGGAUGCAAGAAGAUGCAUUUUGGAGUUUUUUGGAGCAAAAUUGGGCUUGGAAUGAUUAUCACAUAAUUGGAGCCAAGGUUUGGACGA
rnacentral:lncRNA from 1 species